UUCAUUUGAGAAGGAUUGAGAGCUCCACCACCCUACAAUGACGUCUUGAUUCAAUCAUGGGUGACAAUCAGACCAGCUUCUCCGUCACGCUGAUAUUUCUGAAUGAGAAUGAUUUAAACCAGGAUCUGAUUCCAACACCGAGUCAACAUCAGGAACUUACACUUAAAGUCCACAGAGAGUUGGAGGACAUCUCUUUCACCAUUAAUGAUGGUGAUGGGGUUUGUGUUUUUAAAUUCUCCAUCACAAGGGAGACCGAGUGUUGUCGUGUGGCCAGGCGUUCAUUCCUCAUAACACUGGGUUGUCUCAGUAUUGUCCUCAGAUUCACCACUCAGUCAGAGUUUCAGAUGUUUCACACAAUGCUGAGCUUGUGGAACGACCCCAGGAGAAAUCAGUCUGUGUUUCACCAGCGGACAGAUGAUUCAUCUGCACUACAAUACUUCCAGUUCUAUGGCUGUCUGUCACAGCAGCAGAACAUGCUACAGGAUUAUCUCAGAACUGCAACAUACCAAAAAGCCAUUUUGCUCAAUGAUGUUGACUUCAAAGAUAAAGUGGUUCUUGAUGUUGGCUGUGGAACAGGGAUAUUGUCUUUCUUUGCCGUUCAGGCAGGAGCUAAGAAAGUGUACGCGGUGGAGGCCAGUUCUGUAGCCAAAUAUGCUGAAAUUCUAGUGAAAAGCAAUAACAUGUCGGACAGAAUCACAGUUCUGUCAGGGAAGAUUGAGGAGGUUUCCUGUCCAGAGAAAGUGGAUGUGAUCAUCUCAGAGCCCAUUGGCUACAUGCUUCUCAACGACAGGAUGUUAGAGAGCUAUCUACAUGCCAAACACUGGUUAAAACCCACAGGAAUGAUGUUCCCUACCAGCAGUGACAUCCAUCUGGCUCCAUUCAAUGAUGAACAACUUUACAUGGAGCAUCACGCCCGCUCCAGCUUCUGGAAUCAGAGCUGUUUCUAUGGUAUGAACUUAAGUGGACUUCAUUCUGCUGCUGCGGAUGAGUUCUUCAAACAGCCGAUAGUUGACACAUUUGAUAUUCAGAUUCUCAUGGCCAGGUCUGUGAAAUACAGUAUCAAUUUUAUGGAGGCAAAAGAGGAAGAUUUACACCGGAUAGAAAUUCCCUUUGUGUUCAAAAUGUGCCAGUCCGGACUGAUUCAUGGACUUGUAUUCUGGUUUGAUGUGGCAUUUGUUGGUUCAAGAAUAACAGUAUGGCUGUCCACUUCGCCUAACGAACCUCUGACUCAUUGGUAUCAGGUGCGCUGUCUUCUGCAAACACCCCUGUUUGCCAAAAAAGGACAGACAUUAUCUGGACAUGUCCUACUAAUAGCCAACAAGAGACAGAGCUAUGACAUUCACAUAAGCGCUGUGGUUGAUCAGUCUGGAUUUAAAUCUGGGAACACACUGGAUUUGAAAAAUCCUUUUUUCCGGGUGCCUGCUUGGCUGCAGAUGUAACAGGAAAAGGAAGUAAAGUGUAGUCAGAGCCUCAAACACUGGAAACAAGACAUCCUUGGACUAUAGGAUGGUAUGCCUGAAUCAAAGUUUUCAGCAUCAAUCAGAUCAACAGGACCUAAAUGAAGACCGCAGGACUAUCACUCACAAUUGCAUAUGGCAUGUGCAUGGAACAGUGCAAUUGCUUGUUAAUAAAAAAGUGAAUAGAGUAUAUUUUCUUCAAAUUAUUUAUUUGAUGGUACCACUCAUUAAACACAUUUUUUAAAUAACAGCCUGGAAACACUCUACAUUAUAUUCCUUCUGUUAAGGGUUUAUACAGGGGUUAAUGAAUAUAUGAUUUGCCAUUUCCAAAUAAAUCAAUUAUAAAUCAUUAAUAUGCAGUUAUAACAACAUGAAGCCGUUUUACCUCCCAUGUUAAAAAUGCUUAAUAACGAUUAUUCAACAUUAAUGUACCUUAUUUUAUUAUUUUUUUAAUAAUGUUUUUUUCACUAAUUUGGAAUGCCCAAUUCCCAAUGCGCUCUAAGUCCUCGUGUUGGUGUAGUGACUUGCCUCAAUCCGGGUGGCGGAGGACGAAUUUCAGUUGCCUCUGCGUCUGAGACCGUUAAUCUGCUCAUUUUAUCACAUUGCUUGUUGCGUGUGUUACCGCGGAGACGUAGCAAGUGUGGAGGCUUCAUGCUAUUCUCCGCAGCAUCCACGCACAACUCACCUCACUGAGAGCAAGAACCACAUUACAGUGACAAUGAGGUGGUUACCCCAUGUGACUCUACCCUCCCUAGCAACCGGGCCAAUUUGGUUGCUUAGGAGACCUGGCUGGAGUCACUCAGCAUGCCCUGGAUUCGAACUCGCGACUCCAUGGGUUGUUGUCAGCAUCAAUACUCGCUGAGCUACCCAGACCCCGAAUAUGUACCUUAAUGUUAAAUGGACACAAAUUAAACCGCAAACUAUUGAUUUUAAAUGAUGCUGCAUCCUCUCUACAAGCUGUCAGUGUCCAAGAUUCACAAACAAUAAAAGUUACUGA